CAUACUGCUCCCUCCUGCACAAGGCUUCUGAGAAUAAAUGAGAUGUCCGCGCAAGUGCAUUUGCACGGAGAAAGCGCUCAGUAAAUCUUUUUCCCCCUUCGCCCUAUACAAAGGUAAGGAACUCUUAUUGUUCACUUGAUUUCUGUCCCACCUCGUGUUUAAGGCAUCCGGUCUCAAAGCGCGGAGGACAGCAGAGGUGGAAGGGGAGAGGAAGAAAGAAAGCAAGGGGGAAGCAGCAAACUCACGGAGCCUCUGAGGCGGCGAGGCGGCAUCCACAGCUGUCCACGCCAGAGCAUCCGCUGUCCACCAGCGGAGCACAGGCCAUCAAAGCCGAAUUUGAACUUGAAUUCUGUACGGCUGAUUGCGGAGCUGGACCGGGAUCUGCAACCCGCGUGGACAGGUCGACUUAGCCCCGGAGCAAGCUCUCUCACCGAAGCACCUGUUGCGGAGGCUGAACGGGAAAUAAAGGCGCGCACUUAUUUCCAAACUCAUACAAGAAUCUGAGAAAUAACGGCGGAAGCUUUGAGAAGG
rnacentral:lncRNA from 1 species